GUCAAGGUCUGCAGCUUCACUCUUGAAGUCAGCGAGACCAUGAACCCCCUGGAAGGAAGAAACUCCAGACACAUCCGAACACCUGAAGGAACAAAUUCCGGACACACCAUAUUUAAGAACUGUAACACUCAUCGAGAGGGUCCGCGGCUUCAUUCUUGAAGUCAGCGAGACAAAGAACCCACUGGAAGGAACCAAUUUUGGACACAAAAGGAUAUCAGGAAAAGUGCAGAGUGUGGUACAAAAUGCAGGAGGAAAGGGUCAUUGAUAACCAUGAAAAGAACAUUGGUAUGGUAAAGAAAGAAGAGGAACUGGGAAUGCAUGGAAGAGAGAAUAGAAGGUGAGGAAAUGGGCUCAGAAAUUGUCCGUGAAUAGAGAAUUAAUGUUUAGGAGGGAGAUGCCAGGGACCAGGUUGGUGAACCGAGGAAG
rnacentral:lncRNA from 1 species